rnacentral:rRNA from 1 species
AGUUUGAUCCUGGCUCAGAUUGAACGCUGGCGGCAGGCUUAACACAUGCAAGUCGAGCGGAGACUUCGGUCUUAGCGGCGAACGGGUGAGUAAUACCUAGGAAUCUGCCUAUUAUGGGGGGAUAACGAAUCGAAAGGUUCGCUAAUACCGCAUACGUCCUACGGGNAAAGGGGGGGAUCUUCGGACCUCUCGCUAAUAGAUGAGCCUAGGCCGGAUUAGCUAGUUGGUAGGGUAAAGGCCUACCAAGGCGACGAUCUGUAGCUGGUCUGAGAGGAUGGCCAGCCACACUGGAACUGAGACACGGUCCAGACUCCUACGGGAGGCAGCAGUGGGGAAUAUUGGACAAUGGGGGCAACCCUGAUCCAGCCAUGCCGCGUGUGUGAAGAAGGCCUUCGGGUUGUAAAGCACUUUAAGCGAGGAGGAAGGUUUUAGUUUAAUACACUAAAGAAUUGACGUUACUCGCAGAAUAAGCACCGGCUAACUCUGUG